rnacentral:lncRNA from 1 species
AUAUUCACUACAGCACCUGGCACUCUUCACAUCAUACCAGGCAUUCUUUUAUAAUGCAGUAUGUUGGGAUGAGGUUUUUUGGUUCAGAAACAAUAUUGUAUAGAAAAAUUUAAUUUCUUGAUUGACUUAAUUUACCUUAAGCCUCCUGCUGUUGAAAAUCUUAACUGCAUAUUGUGGGACUGAUGCUUGUGUGACAGUCAAGGUCCUACUUGAGCUAAACCUGAUUGGUUUGGUGUAUUUCUGUUUGUUUCCAGCAUAUCAUGUCUUUGGUCUGGAUGGCUGCAUAGCUGCCUGAGAGGAAGAGCUGGAGGAGGAUGAAAAACACAGAGUACUCAGGGAAGAAGAUAGAACCAUCUCCUCCAGCAACUCAGGACUGAAUUUCCUCUCCUUGCCUGUCUCUAUGCCUUGGUCAGUGUAUCUACAGUUUCUCUAUAUGCAUGGCAUAAAUUCAAAGACAGUGUUAAUUCAUAAACCAGAUUAUCUUCAGGAAAAUAAUUUCAUGUAAUCUUUU